AACAAAGGCUACUGUGGAGUAAGGGAG
rnacentral:piRNA from 1 species